GAGUUUGAUCGUGGCUCAGGACGAACGCUGGCGGCGUGCUUAACACAUGCAAGCCGAACGGUGACGACGGAGCUUGCUCUGUCUGAUCAGUGGCGAACGGGUGAGUAACACGUGAGUAACCUGCCCCCGACUCUGGAAUAACCGUGGGAAACGACGGCUAAUACCGGAUAUGAGACGCACAGGCAUCUGUGUGUCUGGAAAGAUUUAUCGGUCAGGGAUGGACUCGCGGCCUAUCAGCUUGUUGGUGGGGUAAGUGGCCCACCAAGGCGACGACGGGUAGCCGGCCUGAGAGGGCGACCGGCCACACUGGGACUGAGAUACGGCCCAGACUCCUACGGGAGGCAGCAGUGGGGAAUAUUGCACAAUGGGCGCAAGCCUGAUGCAGCGACGCCGCGUGAGGGAUGAAGGCCUUCGGUUGUAACCGU
rnacentral:rRNA from 1 species